rnacentral:rRNA from 1 species
UGCCGGCGACCGGCGGACGGGUGCGUAACGCGUAUGUAACCUACCUUUGACAGGGGGAUAACAUCGAGAAAUUGGUACUAAUACCCCAUAACAUCACCGGAGGCAUCUUCGGUGGUUGAAAACUCAGGUGGUCAAAGAUGGACAUGCGUUGUAUUAGCUAGUUGGUGAGGUAACGGCUCACCAAGGCGACGAUACAUAGGGGGACUGAGAGGUCAACCCCCCACAUUGGUACUGAGACACGGACCAAACUCCUACGGGAGGCAGCAG